rnacentral:rRNA from 1 species
GACGAACGCUGGCGGCGUGCCUAAUACAUGCAAGUAGAACGCUGAAGAGAGGAGCUUGCUCUUCUUGGAUGAGUUGCGAACGGGUGAGUAACGCGUAGGUAACCUGCCUUGUAGCGGGGGAUAACUAUUGGAAACGAUAGCUAAUACCGCAUAACAAUGGAUGACACAUGUCAUUUAUUUGAAAGGGGCAAUUGCUCCACUACAAGAUGGACCUGCGUUGUAUUAGCUAGUAGGUGAGGUAACGGCUCACCUAGGCGACGAUACAUAGCCGACCUGAGAGGGUGAUCGGCCACACUGGGACUGAGACACGGCCCAGACUCCUACGGGAGGCAGCAGCAGGGAAUCUUCGGCAAUGGGGGCAACCCUGACCGAGCAACGCCGCGUGAGUGAAGAAGGUUUUCGGAUCGUAAAGCUCUGUUGUAAGUCAAGAACGAGUGUGAGAGUGGAAAGUUCACACUGUGACGGUAGCUUACCAGAAAGGGACGGCUAACUACGUGCCAGCAGCCGCGGUAAUACGUAGGUCCCGAGCGUUGUCCGGAUUUAUUGGGCGUAAAGCGAGCGCAGGCGGUUUGAUAAGUCUGAAGUUAAAGGCUGUGGCUCAACCAUAGUUCGCUUUGGAAACUGUCAAACUUGAGUGCAGAAGGGGAGAGUGGAAUUCCAUGUGUAGCGGUGAAAUGCGUAGAUAUAUGGAGGAACACCGGUGGCGAAAGCGGCUCUCUGGUCUGUAACUGACGCUGAGGCUCGAAAGCGUGGGGAGCGAACAGGAUUAGAUACCCUGGUAGUCCACGCCGUAAACGAUGAGUGCUAGGUGUUGGAUCCUUUCCGGGAUUCAGUGCCGCAGCUAACGCAUUAAGCACUCCGCCUGGGGAGUACGACCGCAAGGUUGAAACUCAAAGGAAUUGACGGGGGCCCGCACAAGCGGUGGAGCAUGUGGUUUAAUUCGAAGCAACGCGAAGAACCUUACCAGGUCUUGACAUCCCGAUGCUAUUUCUAGAGAUAGAAAGUUACUUCGGUACAUCGGUGACAGGUGGUGCAUGGUUGUCGUCAGCUCGUGUCGUGAGAUGUUGGGUUAAGUCCCGCAACGAGCGCAACCCCUAUUGUUAGUUGCCAUCAUUCAGUUGGGCACUCUAGCGAGACUGCCGGUAAUAAACCGGAGGAAGGUGGGGAUGACGUCAAAUCAUCAUGCCCCUUAUGACCUGGGCUACACACGUGCUACAAUGGUUGGUACAACGAGUUGCGAGUCGGUGACGGCAAGCUAAUCUCUUAAAGCCAAUCUCAGUUCGGAUUGUAGGCUGCAACUCGCCUACAUGAAGUCGGAAUCGCUAGUAAUCGCGGAUCAGCACGCCGCGGUGAAUACGUUCCCGGGCCU